rnacentral:rRNA from 1 species
GGUUGUUCGGCCACACUGGGACUGAGACACUGCCCAGACUCCUUCGGGAGGCUGCAGUCGAGAAUCUUUCGCAAUGCGCGCAAGCGUGACGGAGCGACGCCGCGUGGAUGAUGAAGGCCUUCGGGUUGUAAAAUCCAGUCGCGGGGGAAGAAAGGUUGGAGGUUAAUAGCUUGCCAAUUUGACGUUACCCCGGUCGAAGCGCCGGCUAAACACGUGCCAGCAGCCGCGGUAAUACGUGUGGCGCAAGCGUUGUUCGGAAUCACUGGGCAUAAAGAGCGCGUAGGCGGCGUCGUAAGUCGGGUGUGAAAGCCCUCGGCUCAACCGAGGAAUUGCAUUCGAAACUGCGGUGCUAGAGUAUGGAAGGGGGGAGUGGAAUUCCUGGUGGAGCGGUGAAAUGCGUAGAUAUCAGGAGGAACGCCGGUGGCGAAGGCGACUCUCUGGUCCAAAACUGACGCUGAGUGCGCGAAAGCUAGGGGAGCAAACAGGAUUAGAUACCCUGGUAGUCCUAGCUGUAAACGAUGGGCACUAGGUAGUGGGGGUUACUGACACUCUCACUGCUGGAGCAAAUGUAUUAAGUGCCCCGCCUGGGGAGUAUGCUCGCAAGGGUGAAACUCAAAGGAAUUGACGGGGGCUCACACAAGCGGUGGAGCAUGUUGUUUAAUUCGAGCCUACGCGAAGAACCUUACCUGGGUUUGAAACGGUUGGUAUAAAGCUAUCGAAAGGUAGUGGAUGGCCCUUCGGGGUACAACCUUCCACAGGUGCUGCAUGGCUGUCGUCAGCUCGUGUCGUGAGAUGUUGGGUUAAGUCCCGUAACGAGCGAAACCCCUGUCCCUAGUUGCUAGCGGGUAAAGCCGAGGACUCUAGGGAGACUGCCGGUGUUAAACCGCGAGGAAGGUGGGGACCACGUCAAGUCAUCAUGGCCUUUAUAUCCAGGGCUACAAACGUGCUACAAUGGCCGGUACAAAGGGAAGCAAAGCCGCGAGGUGGAGCAAAUCCCAAAAAAAACCGGUCCCAGUUCAGAUUGGAGGCUGCAAUUCGCCUCCAUGAAGUUGGAAUCGCUAGUAAUUGCGUAUCAGCUAUGACGCGGUGAAUGUGUUCCUGAGCCUUGUACACACCGCCCGUCAAGCCAUCCAAGCAGGGCGCACCCGUAAUCGCUGACCCAACCCGCAAGGGAGGGAGGUGCUGAAGGUGAGCUUUGUGAGGAGGACUAAGUCGAAACAAGGUA